rnacentral:rRNA from 1 species
AGAAUCAACGCUGGCGGCGUGCCUAACACAUGCAAGUCGCACGAGAAAGGGGAGCAAUCCCUGAGUACAGUGGCGCACGGGUGAGUAACACGUGAAUAAUCUACCUCCGAGUGGGGAAUAACUGAGAGAAAUCUUAGCUAAUACCGCAUAACACUUACGAGUCAAAGCAGCAAUGCGCUUGGAGAGGAGUUCGCGGGCCGAUUAGUUAGUUGGCGGGGUAAUGGCCCACCAAGACGAUGAUCGGUA